CCGGUUGAUCCUGCCGGAGGCUACCGCUAUUGGAGUUCGAUUAAGCCAUGCGAGUCGCGAGUCUUAGGGACUCGGCGUACCGCUCAGUAACACGUGGGUAACCUGCCCUAUGCUGGGGGAUAACCUCGGGAAACUGAGAAUAAUACCCCAUAGUUCACCACGCCUGGAACGGUGGGUGGAUGAAAGCUCCGGCGGCAUAGGAUGGGCCUGCGGCGUAUCAGGUUGUAGGGGGUGUAAUGUACCCUCUAGCCAUCUACGCGUACGGGUGUUGGGAGACAUCGCCCGGAGAUGGAUUCUGAGACACGAAUCCAGACCCUACGGGGUGCAGCAGGCGCGAAAACUUGGCAAUGCGAGCAAUCGUGACCAGGGAACUCCAAGUGCAUCGGGUAAGACCGAUGCUUUUCUUGACUCUUCAAAGGUCUUGGAAUAAGGGGUGGGUAAGGACGGUGCCAGCCGCCGCGGUAAUACCGGCGCCUCAAGUGGUAGUCGCUUUUAUUGGGCCUAAAACGUCCGUAGCCGGUUUGGUACAUUCGUGGGUAAAUCAAGGCGCUCAACGUCUUGAAUUCUGCGAGCACGGCCAGACUUGGGACCGGGUGAGGUGUGGGGUACUCUCAGGGUAGGGGUAAAAUCCUGUCAUCCUGAGAGGACCACCUGUUGCGAAGGCGCCACACUAGAACGGAUCCGACGGUCAGGGACGAAGCCUAGGGGCACGAACCGGAUUAGAUACCCGGGUAGUCCUAGGUGUAAACGCUGUGGACUUGAUGUUGGGAGUGCUCCGAGCACCCUCAGUGUCGAAGCGAAGGUGAUAAGUCCACUGCCUGGGGAGUACGGUCGCAAGGCUGAAACUUAAAGGAAUUGGCGGGGGAGCACUGCAACCUGAGGAUUGUGCGGUUUAAUUGGAUUCAACGCCG
rnacentral:rRNA from 1 species